AGAAAGUUUGAAGUGUUGCCUAUAUUUUGCAAUGAUGCCACCAGAAAUGGUUGGUGAGAAGAUGUACACAGAGCAAUUUUAUGAUUCUGUCAAUGUUAUACUAUCUUUACAGAGUGAAAAUGGUGGUUUACCUGCUUG